rnacentral:tRNA from 1 species
GGUUGUAUAGUGUACUGCUUAGCACUCUGGAGUCCAGAGUCUGGACUUCGAAUCCAGCGACUUGGGUUCGAAUCCCGCUAGAACGUCA